AGUAAAAAUACGAUGAUUUUUAUUGCGAUCUGUUCAAUAUUGCGUUAGUUACAGAAAACGUUGGAAACUUGGUUAGUAUGAUGUGACUAUCCAGCAAAAUUUAAAGAUUUUACGCAAAAGGUUUAUAGAACAUAAUUCACUGGUAUCAUAGGAAUCAAUUACAAUUUGACAAACUGCAAUUCUAUAGAAGUCUUCAAACUAAGACAUUGAAUUAUUAAGAUA